UGCAUAUCAAAAAGCGGAGGAAAAGAAACCAACAGGGAUUGCCUUAGUAACGGCGAGUGAAGCGGCAAAAGCUCAAAUUUGAAAUCUGGCACCUUCGGUGUCCGAGUUGUAAUUUGAAGAAGGUAACUUUGGAAUUGGCUCUUGUCUAUGUUCCUUGGAACAGGACGUCACAGAGGGUGAGAAUCCCGUGCGAUGAGAUGCCCAAUUCUAUGUAAAGUGCUUUCGAAGAGUCGAGUUGUUUGGGAAUGCAGCUCUAAGUGGGUGGUAAAUUCCAUCUAAAGCUAAAUAUUGGCGAGAGACCGAUAGCGAACAAGUACAGUGAUGGAAAGAUGAAAAGAACUUUGAAAAGAGAGUGAAAAAGUACGUGAAAUUGUUGAAAGGGAAGGGCUUGAGAUCAGACUUGGUAUUUUGCGAUCCUUUCCUUCUUGGUUGGGUUCCUCGCAGCUUACUGGGCCAGCAUCGGUUUGGAUGGUAGGAUAAUGACUAAGGAAUGUGGCUCUACUUCGGUGGAGUGUUAUAGCCUUGGUUGAUACUGCCUGUCUAGACCGAGGACUGCGUCUUUGACUAGGAUGUGCAUAUUUCGG
rnacentral:rRNA from 1 species